rnacentral:rRNA from 1 species
GAUGAACGCUAGCGGCAGGCUUAACACAUGCAAGUCGAGGGGCAGCAUGGUCUUAGCUUGCUAAGGCUGAUGGCGACCGGCGCACGGGUGAGUAACACGUAUCCAACCUGCCGUCUACUCUUGGUCAGCCUUCUGAAAGGAAGAUUAAUCCAGGAUGGGAUCAUGAGUUCACAUGUCCGCAUGAUUAAAGGUAUUUUCCGGUAGACGAUGGGGAUGCGUUCCAUUAGAUAGUAGGCGGGGUAACGGCCCACCUAGUCAACGAUGGAUAGGGGUUCUGAGAGGAAGGUCCCCCACAUUGGAACUGAGACACGGUCCAA